rnacentral:lncRNA from 1 species
CUGAAUAUUCAAUAUUUACUGAAAAUGGUGGGGUGGCAGAGGUCAACCUGAGUGGCUGAAGCCAAAUGCCAGGUCCAAGUUCUAUUGGUCUUUUUGGCUUUUCUGGCGGGGCUGGGAGAGUAAUAUAAAUAUAAACAGUUUUCUAGGGAAUUCAUAUGCUAAGUGGUAAAGUUGGUUAUUUAGGCCAAAGGAUCUAUUUUAAGUUUGCUGCUUCAACUUCAUUGUAGGCUCCAAGAAUCAGCUCUGGAUUGAGCUCUGAGGUGUCCUAAAGGGAAAGGCAUCCACCCUGCCUUCCACUGAAGGAUGAAGGCCAUAAAUUGGAGGGAAUUGAUGAAAGUCAUGCUUCCCCGGGAUGUUUCUAAGAAGCUUCUUCGUGCAGCAUAGCUGGCGCCAGAGAUAACAGAAGACUUGGCUGAGCUGGUGCACGGAGCCGAGCUGGAAGCUGACUGUGGGGUACAUUGCAGCAAACCCAUUAUUAAGAUUUUAUUAGCCACUGAUGAAUAAAUAGGUUUGGAGCCUUCCUCUCCUCCUUGCUAUCUUAUUUUAUAUAAUCGGUGCUACAUGGAAAAUUUUCCUGUCUUUCUGAUCUCACAUUAGUGUUUUCAUAGUAAAGCAAUCAAUAAAUCUACAGAAUUGGAUGAACCUGUGCUGGGAUUGCAUGUCAAAUGUUG